rnacentral:lncRNA from 10 species
CAUUAUGCUGGCAUAAUUUUCUUUUCCUUCCUGCAGGCUCUGUUUAUGAGAUGAUCCAUCAGGUUGUCUCAGAGUCUCCAUCCAGCCCUUCAGCAACCAGAGGCAUUCCAGCUACUUUGGGAGGAUUGAAAGCUACAAAGGACGUUUGGGUGACCUCCCCACAACACAAGGUGGGGUGGGGGGUUUCAACCCACACUGCCCCAUCUUGAAUCGCCAUGGAUGACCAAGUAGUUGAAACACGACGGGGGACUUAGGUGCCAGUCCUUCUAGGCAGAAGGGCCCUCUUGGCCUGGAAGUGACACAGAUCAUGUCUGCUCACAUUUCAUGGACAGAAUUAGUUUUAUGGCCCCACCUAACUGCAGGGGCUGAGAAAUGUAGAGGUGCGAAUGUAACUUGUGGUGAGCGUUACUGUCUCUGCUGCAUGUCAUCAGCAUAUGGGAGGUGAUUAAAUCUGAAAGAGAAAGGACAAGAUCGAUCAAGGUAAAGCCCACAGAACGAAAAGAGAAUAGUCAAGGACAAAACCCAGGGAAUCACCUUCUAUAAGUGAAACAAGGAAGAGAGGAGCCCAAGGAUGACACCGAAAAGUGACAUGAAAAGAGUUAAGAAUUAUGAGCCAAUAGUGUUACUCGAGCCAAGGAAGUAUGUCUAUACAGAGGUGCAGAGCAGCAAAUACAGCCUGGAGGAGCAGUAGGAUAAAGACUGAAGUCUCCACUGCAUUUGACCAUCAAGAGGGGGCUGGAGAAUGUCUUAAUAGAAGUGUCUCCUUGCAGUGAAUAUUUACCCAGGUUUUUGUUCUAGAAAAAAAUGGUCAUUUCUAGAGCUGUAUGGGACAGGGCUGUGUUCCUGAGGCCAUAGCCCCCAGAAGUCUUCUGAAAGUGAUGGUGGCAAUUCAGGAGAAGAAAGUGUUAUUUCCUUUUUGUAUUUUCACUUGAAAAAAAACUGAGAAGAGUGUGACUAGUCGAUGAUAUUUUGACCAUACAGCUGUUGAGCACUUCUGAGGAAGAGGAACAUGGAAGAGACAUUUGUUGAGUACCUAUUACAUGCCAGGCAAUUCCCAUACAUAUUUUACUUAAUCUUCACAACCGCCCAGAGAAAGAGAUCUCUUUUAUCCUUAUUUUAUGGACAUGACAAAACUGAAUAGAAGGCCCUAGUUUACAAACUCCAGGGGCUCCGCUCCAUUUGCUAUCAGCUAAGCAGACUUGGAGCGUGGACCCCUAUUUCUGCUUCUCCCGGGACACUGUAAAUCUCUCCAUUUGCCAUCAGUCUGGAGCUGUGAGCAUGCAGAUGAAAGGCGUUGUGGAUCUGUGAACUACCGUAGCUCUACCUUCGGAGGAACUGACUUUCAGCUUUCAGCCACAUGCAUGAGAGGGGCUGAUUCCAUCUGUCGACCUGUCAGGCUGCCUCUCUUUUGGGCUUCUUUCUUCCCUUCUUGGAGUUUCUUUAAUAAAACAUUUCACUCCCUUGAAAAGCGUCUCCCCGAGUGGCUGAGGAGGGCCCAAUAUGGUUCCAUUUAGUUCUCUGGGGAUGAAGAGGAAGCAUCCUCCCGUUACGUAACUUUCCCAGCAAGUGGUAUUUCUGUUUACUCUCCCUCAAAAAACUAUACAAAAAUAAAUGCUAGUUGUCCUCCCAGCUCAUGAGUUCCACUCUGCCCACAGUUUCUGCUCGGAACUUCCCCACUCCCUUGGCGUCCUCCUCAUUCUCCUCCUUUCUUGGACUCCUGACUCCCGUAAAUACUGAUGGGAGGGCGAGUGUGGCGC